UUUUUGCUUUUUUAUCUAAUCUGCCACUCUGUGUCUUUUGGUUGGAGCAUUCAGUCCAUUGACAUUUAAGGUGAUUAUUGAUAGAUAUGUAUUUAUUGCCAUUUUAAACCUUGUUUUCCAGUUGAUUCUAUGUUUCUCUUUUCUUCCUUUCUUUUUUUGGAUGGAUGAUUUCCCUUUAUUUUAUGCUUGAAUACUUUUAUUUUCAGUUUUGUGAAUGUAAUGUUUGGUUUUGAUUUGUGGUUUCCCUGUUUUUUAAGUAUGUUAACCCCUUCCUAUAUCUGUUGCUUUAGCCUGAUAAUCGUAUAGGCUCAAACACAUCCUUUAAAAAAAAAAGAAAGAAAAAGAAUUUAAUUUUUCUUCCCCUGCCCACAUUGUAUGAAUUUGUCUCUUUUUUUUCCUUUUUUUCUUUUAUCAUCUUCAUGUUUAGAUCUGUAUGCUGGCUUAUUUAAGUGACUGCUUUCCAAUUGUGGUUUCCUCAAUCCUAGAUUUUCCUUUUUAUUUAGAGAAGCCCUUUCAGUAUUUCUUUUAGAAUGGGUUUUGUAUUGCUGUACUCUUUUAGCUUUUGUUUGUUGGAGAAAUUCUUUAUUUCCCCUUCUAUUUUAAAUGAUAUUCUUGCUGGAUAGAGUAUUCUAGGUUGCAAAUUUUUUCCUUUCAGCACUUUAAAUAUAUCUUGCCACUCCCUCCUGGCCUGCAGUGUUUCUGUAGAGAAAUCAGCUGAUAACCUUAUUGGGGUUCCUUAUAAUUAACGCUUUGCUUUUCUCUUGCUGCCUUUAGAAUCCUCUCUUUAUCUUUAACUUUUGCCAUUUUUAUUGUAAUAUGUUUUGGUGUGGGCCUGUUUGGGUUCAACUUGUUUGGGGCCCUAUGUGCUUCCUGUGUCUUGAUAUCAGUGUCCUUUAGAUUUGGAAAGUUUUUAGCCAUAAUUUCUUCAAAUAUAUUUUCAAUUCCCCUUUCUUUUUCUUUUCCUUCUGGAAUUCCUAUUAUGGGUACAUUGGCCUGCUCUAUAUUAUCCCAUAGGUCUCUUAUAUUGCUUUCACGUUUUUUCAUUUGGUUUUCUGUUUGCUGUCCUGACUGGGUGAUUUCCAUUAUUCUAUCUUCCAUGUCACUAAUUCGUUCCUUUGCAUUAUUCAUUCUAGUCUUUAUUGCCUUUAGUUCAGUUUGUAUCUCUGCAAAUGAAUCGUCUAGUUUUUCUUGGCUCCUCCUUAUAUUUUCUAGUUCCUUUUUGAGGGAAUCUGCAUUACUCCUCAUAUCCUCUCUUAAUUCCUUCAGUAUUUUCACUAUCUCCCUUUUGAACUCAAAAUCUGUCAGACUACAGAGGUCUGUUUCAUUAUUUACUGCUUUAGAUGAGUUCUCCUGUUGUUUAAACUGGGUGUGGUUUCUGAGCUUCUUCAUCUUGCUUGUGUGUGUGUGUGUGCGCACAUGCGUGUGUGUUUCUCCUGUGAAUUUGGGGAAGCCAAACUGUGGUCUCGUGAGUCUAUUUCUAUGCAAGAAUACCCCUUUGUAUUUUUUGUGUGGGUUACUAUUUUUUUUUUUGGUGUGGGAGUUUGAAUCUUUGCUGUCUCUUUCUUUGGUGUGAGCAGUCUGUUAUCCCCAGUAUGCCCAGUGUGUUUUCAGGGAGAAGGGGGCAGUGGGUAGGGCCAGCAUUCAGUGCCUGAUCAUUGGGCUCUCAACAGAAGCAGAGACCUGCAGGAAGGUGGCAAAGGUCACUCCUAUUUGCAGGGCCCUGGGCAGUGGUAAUAAGCUCUAGAAGGAUCUACAAGGUGACCAGAAAAUUUGGCUAUAGCUGCAGCAGGGCGCAUGAGUUCCCAGGGGGAUGAGAUCAAUAAAGGCUUGUGUUUGAUUGCAGUGCCCUCCUUUGAGGUGAUUGGACCCACAGGGGGCGCCUAUUCAGGGACCCCUCAUGGGAAUGGGCCAUGACUGUCUCUAGCUUCUGUGAUAACUGUGGUGGUUUGCCUCUGCCACCUGUAGACCAUGUAUGAGGUGAUCUGCCUUACUUAGCCCACACAGGAGGUGCUGCACAGGCUGUUCCUAGUUGUAGGAUCCUGGGAAGUGACAGAGAUCUGGCAUAUGGGUACUGACCUGAACAUUCAGCAGUGGCAGCAGCAGGGUCGGUGUGUUUGCAAGGGUGCAUGAGCACCAAUAGUUGAUUCAGUCACAGUGCCUUCCUCUGUGAUGCCCUUGAGGUGAAUGGGGCUGCAAGUGGUGCCUGUUCACCGACCCCUCUGCCACCUCUGGAGCCAGAGAUAACUGCAGCAGUUUGCCCUUGUAAAUCAUGCAAGAAGCACCUGGUCCUGCUUAGCCCCCAUUGGAUGUGCUGAACAAGGCACUCUUAUUUGCAGGUUCCUAGGAAGGGACAGUGAUCAAGCAUCUAGGCCCCUCCCAGCACGUUUGCCAGUGGCAGCUGCUGUGCGUGUGUGGACCCAGAGGAGCGAGAGAACAUCAGGUGGUGUUCUGUUGUAGUGUCCUUCUCUGUGAUGCCUUCUGAAGUGGUUGGGGCUGCAAGUGAUUUUUGUUCAGAUAUCCCUAGGCCAUGCCCACUUCUGGAGUCAGGGAUAAUUGCAGUGGUUUGCUCCCACCACCUGCAGGUCUGGUCCACCAUGGGCUAGCAUGCAGCUUCCCACUGCUGGAGACACCAGGUCUAUUGUGAGCUAGCAAGUGACUUCUGGUCUCUAGGGGCUGUGCCUGAUAGGCACAAUCUAGGGUGGGUAGCAUGGCUUCCUGCGGGGUGGGGCGAGGUGGCCCAGGGGGAUGCAGAGCAGCGCAGGGGUCAGUGAGCGUUGUGGAGCUGGCUUCUCUGCUUCCCAUGGGGUAUGGUGCUGUGCUGGGGACGCUCUGCCUUCUGCAAUCCAAGGGGAAGCACAUGCAGGCUGGGGCACAAGGAGUUUUCCAUGGUGGUGGCCUGUGCCUUCUCCUCUCCCCUCCCCAACUUUGUCCGGACCUUCUCCCGGGUUCCCUCUGCUGUGGCUUUCCACUCCCCAGCCCUUAGUGUACUGCUACCCCGCCCUCGGCGCACCACUCCCCAGACUCUUAGGCUAUCUCCACACCCCCAACCCCAGCCUGCUCCCAGGGACUGACCUCCAGAGUCUGUCUCAGUGCCCAGAGUCUGUCUCAGCGCCCAGAGUCCCCACCCCAGUUUCUCAGGCUGUGGUGUCUGCGCCAGUGGUUCAGAUGAUCUGUGCUUUUCAGUUCUCAGACCUGCUGCUGCACUUUCCUCGGCGUCUUGGAGAACCCUUCAACUUGGCUGAUCUUUCCAUUGGUUGGAUGGCUUCCCAGGGUGUGGGUUCCUUUUCUCCUUCACAGCUCCCUCUUGGGAAUGCUUGUCCCAUCUGAUUCCUUUUCUCUCUCUCUUUUUUUCUUUUGUUCUACCCAGUUAUGUCAAGAAUUUCUUGCCCUUUUGGAGGUUUAAUUUAAGUUCUUCUGCCAGCAUUCAGUUGAUGUCCUGUGUGAGCUGUUUUACAUGUAGAUGUGUUUUUUGGAUAUGUUUGUGGGAGAGGGUGAGUGUGUCCUCUUACUCUUCUGCCGUCUUGCCUCCUCCGCCCCGUGUCUGCUUUUAUUAGAAGACAAGGGAAUGAUACUUCCAAUAAUCGGAAAACAAAACCUGUUAAUCAUUUUUGUAUUCAGACAAGUAAUUAGAAAGAGUAAGGAAAGAAUACUUUUAUAGAUAGAAGAAGAUUGUUUACAACUCAACUGUUUUCCAAGAAAAAAACUAUUUAAAGAUACAUUUCAGGGGUUCCUUUGUGGCUCAGUGGUUAACCAACCUGACCAAGAUCCAUGAGGAUGCGGAUUCGAUCCCUGGCCUUGCUCAGUGGGUUAAGGAUCUGACAUUGCCGUGAGCUGUGGUGUAGGUUGCAGACACGGCUUGGAUCCCGAGUUGCUGUGGCUGUGGUGCAGGCUGGCAGCUGUAGCUCUGAUUUGAUCCCUAGCCUGGGAACUUCCGUAUUCCAUGGGUGCAGCCCU
rnacentral:lncRNA from 1 species